AGUGAACGCUGGCGGUAGGCCUAACACAUGCAAGUCGAACGGUAACAGGUCUUCGGAUGCUGACGAGUGGCGAACGGGUGAGUAAUACAUCGGAACGUGCCUAGUAGUGGGGGAUAACUACUCGAAAGAGUGGCUAAUACCGCAUGAGAUCUACGGAUGAAAGCAGGGGAUCGCAAGACCUUGUGCUACUAGAGCGGCCGAUGGCAGGUUAGGUAGUUGGUGGGAUAAAAGCUUACCAAGCCGACGAUCUGUAGCUGGUCUGAGAGGACGAUCAGCCACACUGGGACUGAGACACGGCCCAGACUCCUACGGGAGGCAGCAGUGGGGAAUUUUGGACAAUGGGCGCAAGCCUGAUCCAGCAAUGCCGCGUGCAGGAUGAAGGCCUUCGGGUUGUAAACUGCUUUUGUACGGAACGAAAAGCCCCGGGUUAAUACCCUGGGGUCAUGACGGUACCGUAAGAAUAAGCACCGGCUAACUACGUGCCAGCCGCCGCAGUAA
rnacentral:rRNA from 1 species